UACGUAGGGUGCGAGCGUUGUCCGGAAUUACUGGGCGUAAAGCGCACGUAGGCGGACAUUUAAGUCAGGGGUGAAAUCCCGGGGCUCAACCCCGGAACGGCCUUUGAUACUGGGUGUCUUGAGUUCGGAAGAGGUGAGUGGAAUUGCGAGUGUAGAGGUGAAAUUCGUAGAUAUUCGCAAGAACACCAGUGGCGAAGGCGGCUCACUGGCCCGAUACUGACGCUGAGGCACGAAAGCGUGGGGAGCAAACAGG
rnacentral:rRNA from 1 species